UACAGAGGAGCCAAGCGUUGUCCGGAUUGACUGGGCGUAAAGCGCACGCAGGCGGACGCGCGCGUGGGGUGUGAAAUCUGGCCGCUUAACGGCCAGGCGCCAUCCCAUACGGCGCGUCUGGAGCAAUGCAGAGGUCGGUGGAAUUGCCGGUGUAGUGGUGAAAUGCGUAGAGAUCGGCAGGAACACCCAGGGGGAGACCAGCCGACUGGGCAUUUGCUGACGCUGAGGUGCGAGAGCGUGGGGAGCGAACCGG
rnacentral:rRNA from 1 species